rnacentral:rRNA from 1 species
UUGGUAGGGUAAGGGCCUACCAAGCCAAUGAUCGGUAGCCGGCCUGAGAGGGUGAACGGCCACAUUGGACAUGAGAGACGGUCCAAACUCCUACGGGAGGCAGCAGUGGGGAAUAUUGGGCAAUGGGCGGAAGCCUGACCCAGCAACGCCGCGUGAGGGAAGAAGGUUUUCGGAUUGUAAACCUCUGUUCUUGGGGAAGAGGAGGAGACGGUACCCAAGGAGGAAGCCCCGUCUAAUUACGUGCCAGCAGCCGCGGUAAUAAGUAGGGGGCGAGCGUUGUCCGGAAUGAUUGGGCGUAAAGGGCGCGCAGGCGGCCUGUCAAGUCAGUAGUGGAAGUCCAUUUUUCAAGGAUGGAAGUGCUAUAGAAAAUGAUGGGCUUGAGUGCAGGAGAGGUUAUCGGAAUUCCCGGUGUAGCGGUGAAAUGCGUAGAGAUCGGGAGGAACACCAGUGGCGAAGGCGGGUAACUGGACUGCAACUGACGCUGAGGCGCGAAAGUGUGGGGAGCAAACAGGAUUAGAUACCCUGGUAGUCCACACUGUAAACGAUGAAUGCUAGGUGUAGGGGGUAUCGACCCCUUCUGUGCCGAAGUAAACAC